CAGAGACAGGCAAAGACGUGUUUGAGGAUCAGACGAGCUCUGCAGCCCGGCCAACAGUAGGAGUCCAAUGAGUAUACAGCUUGAAACUUAGGAAGAAGCCUGAAGAAAAGAAUGCUGACUAGAUAGCAAACUGCCUCCCAUCAAAGGCACGUCUGUGUCUUUUCUCUGCUUGUCAGAUUCUCUCUUCUCCGCUCUGCCGGCACACAGCUGUUAGCUGAGCAUCAACAGAAUGCAAACAUUCACAGCACCGCUGAAAAAAUUAGAUUACAGUCCCUGCCCUAAUGAGAUUGCCCCCUUUUAUCAUGCAAAAUAAAUGUCCUCACACGUAUGCAUCAGCACGGCGCUCUGCCCAGGGUGUUAUCCCUGGGAAUCACAAUGAUCCACACAGCGGUUUUCUGGCAGACUGAAGCUCUUAAUGUACUUAAAGGACAAAAUUAAUCAGGCCUGUUAAGACAUUCUCACACACGCACACACACACACACACACACACACACACACAAACAAAAUGUCAUGGAAGCCUUGCAGCUCACAGAGAAGUUCAUUGUGAGCCUGUCGACAUGCAAAUAAGCUCUAAGAAGAAGUUAGCAGGCUGACUUCCAGUUUGAGAGGAUGCAGAGGUUAAUCUCUCAUUUAUAGUGUGAAAUUAUUUUCAUGCACUUUUUGCUCUGGAAAAAUGAGUUCUUGCACUUGCUUUAUGGGGGUGAAAUUGUUUUAAGUAAUCACAUUAUUGGGAACCAGAAGGAAAAAAAAAAGAUAAGAAAUUGUUACUAUUCAAUUUCCCUGCAAGUAUUAGAAGACGUAGUAGUGGUAGGUAUUGUUGUAUUUCCAUCAUGCAAGCUGCCAUUCUGUAAAAACAGAAAAACUUUUAACAUUUUUUUAAAUUACUUUGUGAAAUCACAAGAAACCACUCAAUGUUCAGAACACAAAUGUUGAAUUUGUUCAUAUAAUUCUUUGUUUUUAAUGACCUUGUUGGUGUUAGAUCUGAUUAAAAUGACUUCUACAAACUUGGGAAAUGUUUUUUAUAACAUGUCAUGGUUAUUUACAGUAACUUUAAAUGGAUGAAAUGGAUUAAACUCUAUAAGUGAAUCUGUUUGGUGCCGAUUCCAAAGAAUGAAGCUUUCAGCAACAAGGAUCAUUGUACACAACUAAGCAUCCAGUGUAAUUAUUUUCUGAUUACACUGAUCAGUAAAUUAUCCAUCUUAUGCAAUCAAAGCUUCAAUCUUACACUUGUUUCAUCAGGACGCAAUCACAUAUUAGCCAUAUGAACCUAAAACAAAGCCCAAACAAGACACAAAAGCAACUGGUCUCUUCAGUUUUCUGCUUCUCCUUCAGCUCUGUUUUUUCUAUACCUCUCUCAAAAAUUUCUCAAGGCUCCGGGGAUUUUCUUUUGUCACUGUCACGGAGAAAAGGCGGCUCUAAAAAUACAGCAGAAAUCACUUGCAUUGGAGGCAUUACAUGGCCUUGAAAUAAGCCUCACUGUAAAUGCGACACAGUGGAGAUAAGAGUUGAAACUUGCUGCACCUGUUGUCUGAAAUGUCAUUAAUCAGAGCAAAGCAGUCACAAGCUGGCGUGCAGGGAAAAUCUGAUUAUCUGCUUAUAUUUUGUUUUAGGAACGCACCAACAUCAUUACUGGCAGCCUGGUAUGUGGCAAAAACCUUAAAAUAUUUAGAAAAAUAUAAUGAAUAAAUCUAGUCAUUAGGGGGAAAAAAUCUCUAACUUAUAGGGAAUGACUAUUUCUACUUAAAGUCUUGGUAAUUUUCAGCAAACUCCACAGUUUACAAGGUGGAAGGAUAGAAAAGCUCUGCAUGUAGAUAGCAUCUAAAAAAGACUAAUACCUAAGACAUACUUCAUGCUUUGAAGUAGUGCUCAAAUAGUGAGCUUUGAAGAUUUCUUUUUUAAAUUUUUUAUGUCUUAACAUCCACCUCACAGCGCGUAGGAGCAAGAUAAAUAUGAGCCCUCGUCCAGCCUGAUAGCCAGUGGCUACAAGAAGCAGACCUUGUGUCACGUUUUUUAUAAAACAAAGAAAACAGAAAGUCAUAGAAACUCAAAAUAACUUAAAAAACUAAAUAAAAAACACAUACGAUAGUAAUUUUCCACUAGUGAUUUCACUAAAGCAACAUGGUUUGUUUUCCUCCACUGAACAAAUUCCCUAUAAUGUAAUAUGAGAUAAUGCUACUGCAAUAAAAGAUUAAUUUAUUUUUAUAAGUUUUAUCCACAUUUAUAAGCUAUUUAACUAGAUUUGGCAUACCUGUAGCAUUUUUUUACUGUCAAUAAGACCCUCACUAGCAGCUCCAAGCAAAUUUAUAUCGUUGGUCAGGCCAUCAAAAACCUCUCCACUUACUUUUCCACACCUGAGUUUUUUCUUUAAACACCCCCUUGACUGAAUCUGAACUAUACCUCAGCAAAGAGCAGACAUACAUAGGCUCAGCAGCAAUGAUUCAAUAAAUCUGGUCCAUGAGCUGAAUGCUGUCCAUGACUUUUACUGUAGUGGGUAAUUGAAGCUCUAACUCCCAGCUGCACAAUGGGAUUCACUCUAAGGCUCUUUUAAUCUGGGAGGGCCUGAGAAAAUACAAAGCAAAAACCCAUGAAACCCUGAGGGAGUCGUCACCGUCACAGGAGUGCAGGAGUGUCUGUCCCUAUCUCGCUCUCUCUCGCUCGUCGCCUGUGGGGAAAGUUCACCCGAUCUGCCUCUCAGCUCUGUCAUCCGCCGUCAGCCCGAAACCUACUCAGCUUCCCGGCUGCAGCAACAGGGAGGCAAGAUGCAAGAUGCUGAUCUGUAUGUGUCGUUAAACUGAUGGGCUCCUUCUGCAGGGGGGGGUUACCUUGAUCUGAGCGCAGAUUUGGACAGAAUGAAAAUGUUGGAGUAAUGAAAUAUUCUGACAACUCGGAUCGUUUUGCCUGCUGCAUGUGUCACCGUGAUGUCAAUCUGCCUGGUUAAAAAAAAAAAA